ensembl:lncRNA
GAACCAUUUCAAAAUGGGUGCCAUUUCACCCUUGGUGUGCAGUGGAGGGUUGCGUCUCAAUAGAGAAUAGCUAUGGAAGCAUACUGGGUGUGUAUAAAGGGUCAUAAGCUGACAAAAUCCCCUAUGAAUUUAUUAUGAAGGGUCAGAAAUUGAAGGAGAAACGGACUCCAAUCCUGAAUCUGUUGACUGAGAGCUGCCACUCGCACCGCGAGACACACCACUACCUCAGACAACAGAUCCUUCCCCCUCUGAGGGACAUGGCACUGAGGCCGGAGCAGGGGGUCACAGUGAGGGGACGUGGACACGGACAUCAAGCACUGUGCUGCCGAGCUCCUCUUUGUGCUCUGCAAAGAGAACGGUGCCCACAUCAUAUCACACUCCUGUCACUCUUACUAGCUCAUUUCAAAGUAACUCUUAGUUAGAAGAACCCACUUAUUAACCCCUCAUAGCACAUGUAGUAACUCAUCUCUCUCUCUCUUUCAUCCCCCUUCAUAUCUGCUUCACUUAGUGACUAUCCAAGUGUGUGAAAUAGAUGGAUAGAUCGAAAUAGAGGAAUGUUGCCAUUUUCUCUUUUCUCUCUCUAUCUCUCAGUGAGUUGUUUUGUGAAGUACUCAGGCUAUGGUAAGCGCAGGGUUCGCUGAGUGGAGGUCAGGUGACCCACGCCUAGUAAUCUAGCGACUCAGACUCUGACACAGAGGAAUACAGGUGUGUAAAACAACCAUUGAUAAUGUCACAAACACAACACUUUGUAAUACUGUAUAGGGACACAAUUAAUCGUUAGGCUUGUGAUACAUGACUAGGCUUGUGAUACAUGACUGAUAGCAUAAAUCGGAGCAUGCAACAGAAACAAUUUUUGAUGGUUAGGAGUGGACAGUAUUUACAAGGGAGGUGUUUGUAACUGUGUUCCACAGGGAAGCUAAGGGGCGCAUCAACCCAGUGACGGGGAGGGUGGAGGAGGAGCAGACAGACCCCAUGGAGGGAAUCACGGAGCAGGAGAAAGAGCAGGAGGCACUAAGACUCAUCAGCCUGUUUAACAGGCUCUCACAGUGUGUGUAUUUGUGAGCGUGUAUGUGCAUGUGGUGUGUGUGUGUGAGUACAUAUAUGUUUCAGUUAGUGACUAUACAAGUGCGUGAAAUAGAUGGAUGUUGCCAUUUUCUCUCUUUCUCUCUUUCUCCCUGCUUCUCUCAGGGACAUGAUCAUCCAACCAGUGGGAGUGACAAUAGGGGAGAGACUGGAGUCCCUGUGUGGUCAGAUGAGGGGCAGUACUGUGGAAGAGGUGGAAUCAGAGGGAGAGAGAGGAAGAGAGGGAAAAGUAGGGAGGAGAGAAAAGAAAAAUGAGAUAUAGGAGGGUGGAGUAAGAAGAUUACAAGAGUUACUGCAUAGUAUGAAGUUACAGCAUAUGAUGGUGAAGAGAGAGAGAGAGAGAGAGAGAGUAAGAGAGAUAAGAGGUUGGUUUGUAUUUAUAUAGCACAGUGGUGGAAAAAGUAUCCAAUUGUCAUACUUGAGUAAAAGUGACAAUACCAUAAUAGAAAAUGCUGCAAGUAAAUGUGAAAGUAACCUAGUAAAACCUAUUUGGUUUUAAAUAUACUUAAGUAUUAAAAGUAAAAGACAAUGCAAAAAAUAUACACUGCUCAAAAAAAUAAAGGGAACACUUAAACAACGCAUCUUCAAAUAAUAUUUUUGCAGGAAUCUCCUUGCGAAUGAUUUUGCCGAAGAUUGUAUCACCGCCGGGCUGGGCAACAGUAGGUUGCCGGUAGUUUAGCAUUUGUCUGUUUUCACCUUUACGAGGAAAAUAAUUCCUAUUGUGACAUAUCGUGGCAGUUAGGAGUUACAGGAUAUGUUUUUAUUAUGUUUCUGUGAAAUCAAACUGUCCACUUAGGAAGACACACUGAUUGACAAUAAAUUUCACAUGCUGUUGUGCAAAUGGAAUUGACAACAGGUGGAAAUUAUAGGCAAUUAGCAAGACACCCCCAAUAAAGGAGUGGUUCUGCAGGUGGCAACCACAGACCACUUCUCAGUUCCUAUGCUUCCUGGCUGAUGUUUUGGUCACUUUUGAAUGCUGGCGGU